UCAAUACCCUGUGUGGAUGACGGUACCGGAAUAAGAAGCACCGGCCUAACUACGUGCCAGCAGCCGCGGUAAUACGUAGGGUGCGAGCGUUAAUCGGAAUUACUGGGCGUAAAGCGUGCGCAGGCGGUUUGGUAAGUCAGAUGUGAAAAUCCCCGGGCUCAACCUGGGAACUGCAUUUGAGACUGCCAAGCUGGAGUUUGGCAGAGGGGGGUGGAAUUCCACGUGUAGCAGUGAAAUGCGUAGAGAUGUGGAGGAACACCGAUGGCGAAGGCAGCCCCCUGGGCCAAUACUGACGCUCAUGCACGAAAGCGUGGGGAGCAAACAGGAUUAGAUACCCUGGUAGUCCACGCCCUAAACGAUGUCAACUAGGUGUUGGGAGGGUUAAACCUUUUAGUGCCGUAGCUAACGCGUGAAGUUGACCGCCUGGGGAGUACGGCCGCAAGGCUAAAACUCAAAGGAAUUGACGG
rnacentral:rRNA from 1 species